GAAUUCCGGGUGUGGCGGUGAAAUGCGUAGAUAUGCGGAGGAACACCGAUGGCGAAGGCAGCCCCCUGGGCCUGUACUGACGCUCAUGCACGAAAGCGUGGGGAGCAAACAGGAUUAGAUACCCUGGUAGUCCACGCCCUAAACGAUGUCAACUGGUUGUUGG
rnacentral:rRNA from 1 species